rnacentral:lncRNA from 1 species
AAAAAACAUUUAAAAUGCCUGAGAAUGAAAAAUUAAUUAAGGAGAAUUAUAGCAUACUCUUAAAAAACAUGAUAAAUAAGACAAUAUGAGUAUUUAUCUUUCUGUGGACUGUAGAACCAUUUGCAACUUGGUGCUAUAGGAUAUCAUGUGCUAUCAUGUAUAAAAGGAAUUUACCAUUAAGUCUGUUAGACAAAACUGUAGGAGAUUGUGAGUUUUUUCUUUUUCUGUUUUGUUUUCUUUAGUCUUGGCAUUUUGGAACCAGCCUCCUGCUGAAGUAAAUUUGUCUCCAAUCACAAUCCCAGGUAAGUGUAUAGAGAUCUGAAGUGUUCUGCAGAAAUUGCACAGGUGGCAAUUCUCAUAGAAGAAAGAGGAAGGCAGGGACCCUUGAAAUGGUAAUAUCUCAGCUCUUGCACACACACACAGGAGCCUCUCAGGUGCUUGGCAAAGCUGCCGUUUUCUUUUAUAUGGUUAUAUCUGCUUAUUUCAUUAUAACUUGUUAUGCCUUAAACCCAAGGCUGUGAGAGUUCUGUUUUCUUGUAUGUGCGUUUGAGAGCCACUUACAAACUAAUGGAAAGCUUCUGCAGUCCGUCCUUGUCAGGUAGCUCGUUCUGUGUGGAUUAUUUACAAGUAAAAUGUCAUUCUCAAUGAAUUGUACAAUGACACACACACAUAUACAUAAUUUUAAUGCUAUAAGAAAUGCAUGCCUAUGUACAACAUGUGUGUGUGUGUAUAUAGAUAUAUAUCUUUUCUCAUGUAUAUACAACUCCCAUUUGUAGUAUAAAGUCUGCAAAAUUUCAUAUCAAGUCAGUAACAAAGAAAGAUGAUGAAACUUAAUAUUAUGUGAAUCAUUAUGAAGUUGGAAUAUUGCACCAAGUCUUAGAAGCAUAUUUUUCUAGAGGUACUAAUAUUCAUGUUCAAAUACCAAACUUAUACCUCUAAAUUAUCUCUCCCUUUUCUUUACAAAAUAAAAUAAUUUUUGGAUAAACUGCUAAUAUUUGUGUAUUCUCUCACACCCCAAUUUUCAUUAGGAAUAAGUUUUAUUUUGUCUGAAAUAAAGCAGUUUUAUUUUGUCUGAAAUAAAGCACUUAAUUGCUGAACUAAGUAAGGAUAUCUGAUUUCAAAUGAAACUUUGAAACAUGAAUAUGUGUGUGCAUGGGCUUGCAUGUGCAUGAUUUUCAGGAUGCCCCUAUAGUGGAUUGUUGUUCCUAAAAGACAAGAUGAUCUCCUGGGACUUGAGAUUCAUGGAUGAGGCCAGCAUUCACUGGGCACUAAUAUGUUUUGACAUUCUGAAUGUUGAGAUAAUAAGCACAUACCAUCAUACCCAGCGUCUUACAUAUGUUUUAGUAUUUGAUCUCAGAUCUUCAUGUUUCUAUGAGAAGCAUUUACUGACUAACCUAUUUCUCCAACCCUGAAAUGUGUCUUAUGAUUUCCCAAUGUGUUAGAAAUGUAGUAUUCAGCUGGGCGGUGGUGGUGCACGCCUUUAAUCCCAGCACUUGGGAGGCAGAGGCAGGCAGAUUUCUGAGUUAGAGGCCAGCCAGCCUGGUCUACAGAGUGAGUUCCAGGACAGUCAGAGGCCAGAGCUACACAGAGAAACCCUGUCUUGAAAACCAAAAAAAAAAAAAAAAAAAAAAAAAAAAAAAAAAAAAAAUGUAGUUUUCAGGAAUCUUUAAUAUUCUAUGAUAUGACCAAGUUGUUACAUCCUAGAUAUAAGACAAAUAUUGCAAUGAGAUGUAUUUAAUCCACUAUCAAAAUGGAAUUACUGGGAGCUGGUAUAAAACAAAGAAAAUUUGAAGUUAAUUAUAAAAGAAUGUUGUUCUUAUGUUUCAGAAUAUUGAGAGGAGGUAAAAUACACCAGUUAUUGUGCAAGAAUAGAGUCAAACAUGUUAAAUGCAUUUCUAGCUUUUAAUCACAAGAAAUAUGUUCAAAAUGUGAAAAUCUAAACCAUGAUUCAAAAUUGAGAAACUAAAAGUACUUAUUUUAUAUUUUCUUUUAUUUUCUUACCUUUUUGUUUCUAAGAGUGCCAGGUUUUAUUUACAGUAACAUAUUUUAUUUAAUGAGAAAUAUAAAAUAUAAGUAAGAAGAAAAGAUUUAAAAUAUUAGAAAAUUGUUGCGUCAUUUGGCUAUUACCAUUUGAACAAGUACAUCUCUCAACUACAGAGCAUUAAUUUCUUUGAAUUGUGCACAAUAAAAUAGAAUGUAGAAUUUUGUUAAUGCAUGCAAAAUCAAUACUAGAACCAUAGUUACAGAAAGAGUUCCUUCCCUAGUAUGGUAGGAACAAAGAACAGGUAUAAUAUUCUGCCAUGUGACUCUUGAUGCACUUGGCUCGCUGGUGUUUUGGAAAUGUCUGAUGACUUAAGCGUAGAUGAGCAGUUGGGAGCAGAAGGCAUAAAUCUUUGGGAUGCUUCAUCUUCAUGAUUGAUCCUACUCCAUGAACACAUAGAUGGCACUGCCAAUUGAAGAAAUGAAGGAAGAGUCAUAGGAAAAAUAAGUGCACACAGAAGAAAGUGGAUAUUGAACUCCAUAAGUUUCUGCUUGGUCUCAGAUACAAAUUUCUUUUGAUUUCCUGACCCCUACUUAAAAUUCACAGAUGCUCCGCCUCCUAUACGUUAAAAAAAAAAAAAGUCCUCUCCACAACUGCAUAGUGAACCAUGGAAAUUAUAUUAUAUUAACUUUUUAAUGUUUAAAAAAUUAUCAAUUUUGCUCUCUUUUUUUCCAAAGGACAAUAGUACAAAAGCAUUAUGCCCAACCAUCUUGCCCCUUUGCAUGUAUGAUUAGAAGCUAGGCUUGUCAAUACUAGAGCAUUGGCUGAUUUAAGGAAUUGCAGCUCUGAAAAGGAUGAUCUGUUAUAUAACUCAAUCGAUGAAUUCGAUUUAAAAAGUUUGUUCAAGUACCUGAAUAAACCUAUGGUUGAUGGGCAGAAUGAUAAAUUAGAAUACAGAUCUUUCCCAAGGACUUUGCUGCUUAGGAGUCUAUACUAGCUUCUUUUGCUUAAUCGUGCAGCAGUUCUACCUUUGGUCUCUUCCUGGAUAACCACAGCUUCUUUUAGUCACAUAAAUAAUCUCCGUAUUUAUUGAGACAAGAAAUAAGGGUCACUUUUUUUAGCAUAAGAUUUCCUUUAAAGGUCAAAUGGAACUGGCCUUGAUUCAAGUGGGUCCAUAAGACUCAUGUGUAACCAAAAUAGUGGUAAAGAGUGUUUUGGCUUCUCCAUUAGCUUGGAAAAUUACAACGUGACAAUUACAGUGCUUGUUUGCUGAGGUCUGAUAAUCAUGUCACGACAUUUUUAUGCUUCAUUCACUGUUAUGAUUUGGACAGCUUCGUGCCAAAGACUGGUUUACACAGAUUAAUACUGUGUCACAGUAUUAUGAAAACAAGGUAGGCUAACAGGAUCAUAUGCAGGGUUUAGAAGCAUGCAGCUGUGUAUUAUUAGCAUGACAUCUGUGAUAAAAACAAAGAGUAUAACAUAAGAAUACCAAGCCAAAGAAGUUCACAAUGUUGGCUGCCAGUUGAGGUAAGAAUAUUUAGACUUACUUAGGGUUCAAAACGUUCACCUGUGGUGGUAGGUAGCAACAAACGAACAAGAUUUAACCGAAUGCACAUUUUAGAGAACUACAAGAUCUUGCUUUACUUUUGGCAUCUCAAAUUCUUUACUUCUUGGUAUGCUCCCUCAUUUAUUCUGAGAGCGAUUGAGCCAAUAGACUUAUUUCAAGUGUGUUUUAUAUCAGAGAUGAAACUGCCAUUUUAACUCACUGCACAUGAUCAUAAUUUUAGAAUUAGUAAGAACACACCAUUCCAAGCCCACAAAUGCUAUUAUUUAAGAAUUUAAAAUGGCAUGAUGUGAACAUUUUCUAGCUUUCAAUGUAUGCUUCUGAAAACAAUUGUCUUUUUCUCAAAGUUGGAAAAAUGCUUUUCUAGAAAGGGAAGCAAAGACAAACCCAGCCUGACACCAUCCAGUCUGCAUGCAGCCUCCAGUUCAGCAGCAAUUUUUAAAGAAUGAAUUUUAAUGUGCACGGACCUAUUAGCACAGGAUCAGAUUUCUAACCAAUUGAUUGGACAUGCAAAAAGAGUCCGUGUCCUAGAUUUAAAGUCAUUACACAGUCUUAAACACAGCUGUGCAGCAAGCCUUUCAAACUUGAUGGAUUUGAACACAUUGAAUGGUGCUGAAGGUGAUUGGCUAGCGAAUUUCCUUCAAUGCAAUUAACAAUAAUAACAAAUUUAGUGAAACAACUACUGUGUUGUUCAGCAAGCAACUGGGCAUCCUGGUUUUCAUAGCUAUCAGGUGUGCACAUGAUAGAAAAUACACAGUUAUCUAGGUAGA